rnacentral:tRNA from 1 species
AGCUCUUAGAGCUGACUCGGAUAGCCGUUAA